rnacentral:rRNA from 1 species
AGCGAACGCUGGCGGCAGGCUUAACACAUGCAAGUCGAGCGGGCACUUCGGUGUCAGCGGCAGACGGGUGAGUAACACGUGGGAACGUACCCUUUGGUUCGGAAUAACGCUGGGAAACUAGCGCUAAUACCGGAUACGCCCUUUUGGGGAAAGGCUUGCUGCCGAAGGAUCGGCCCGCGUCGGAUUAGCUAGUUGGUGGGGUAAUGGCCUACCAAGGCGACGAUCAGUAGCUGGUCUGAGAGGAUGAUCAGCCACACUGGGACUGAGACACGGCCCAGACUCCUACGGGAGGCAGCAGUGGGGAAUAUUGGACAAUGGGCGCAAGCCUGAUCCAGCCAUGCCGCGUGAGUGAUGAAGGCCUUAGGGUUGUAAAGCUCUUUUGUCCGGGACGAUAAUGACGGUACCGGAAGAAUAAGCCCCGGCUAACUUCGUG